UGAAGCCGGUGGAAUGAGCGGCGGACGGGUGAGUAACACGUGGGCAACCUGCCUUGCAGACUGGGAUAACCCCGGGAAACCGGGGCUAAUACCGGAUGACCAUCCGGAUCGCAUGAUCCGGAUGUAAAAGUGGGGAAUUUAUUCCUCACACUGCAAGAUGGGCCCGCGGCGCAUUAGCUAGUUGGUAAGGUAACGGCUUACCAAGGCGACGAUGCGUAGCCGACCUGAGAGGGUGAUCGGCCACACUGGGACUGAGACACGGCCCAGACUCCUACGGGAGGCAGCAGUAGGGAAUCAUCCGCAAUGGGCGAAAGCCUGACGGUGCAACGCCGCGUGAACGAUGAAGGUUUUCGGAUCGUAAAGUUCUGUUAUGAGGGAAGAACAAGUGCCGGUCGAACAGGCCGGCGCCUUGACGGUACCUCACGAGAAAGCCCCGGCUAACUACGUGCCAGCAGCCGCGGUAAUACGUAGGGGGCAAGCGUUGUCCGGAAUUAUUGGGCGUAAAGCGCGCGCAGGCGGUCUCUUAAGUCUGAUGUGAAAGCCCACGGCUCAACCGUGGAGGGUCAUUGGAAACUGGGAGACUUGAGUGUA
rnacentral:rRNA from 1 species